CUGACACAUUUUUGUGUGCACAAGAACUUACCAGUGAUAAUCUUCAAGGUUUAACUUUGGAAAAUUGCCAUCUGGUUCACAAAAACAGACAGCCUGAGAUCACUGAUGUCUUUUCACAACCAGAAGUCCAAAGGCAUAUUGACUUGAUUCAAGACUUCAGUAGAAUAGAUUGGAAAGUGUUGGUAUGUAUUAAAAAUUCUAUUAUAUAUAUGUGAGUAUGUGUGUGUGUGUGUGUGUGUGUGUAUAAACAUAUAAAUACAUAUGUAUAUACAUACACACAUUUUUAUGUAUGCAUAAUAUAAUUAUUCAUAUUUUCAUAUAUGUAUUAUACUCUGAAUAGGAUAACAAUCUGGAUAAAGAUAAUCUGAUUCUAGGAUAGAAUGAUGAUGAUGAAAAGAGCUGAUGAAAAAAAAGGGUAUUUACCUAUCUUGAGUAUUUGUUUACUGGAUGAAAUCAAGAAUGGGAAAGAUCAAUGUUGAUCUGAAGUAAAUGUAGUAUACUAGCAAAAAAAGCUCGUUUAAAAUAAGUAGAAAAGCAAAGAUACAAACAAACAAGCAAGCAAGACUGACUCUAAAUCUUAAUUUUCAAUCCACAGAGUGAAUUGAGAAAGAUUUCAACAUAAAUGAAGAGGGAAAAAUUAGAUUUGUUUGAUUACAUCUGGAUACAAAUUGGAUUUAAAUUAGAUUUGUGCUGAAAAACACAGCUUGCACAGGUAACUGAUGUAUUUGCA
rnacentral:lncRNA from 1 species